GGAUGUGAGGGCGAUCUGGCUGCGACAUCUGUCACCCCAUUGAUUGCCAGGGUUGAUUAGGCUGAUCUGGCUGGCUAGGCAGGUGUCCCCUUCCUCCCUCACCACUCCAUGUGCGUCCCUCCCGAAGCUGUGAGCUCAGUGGAAGAGGACAACCAUCCCCCAUAGAGGAGGACCGUUCUUCGGUCAAGGGUAUACGAGUAGCUGCGCUCCCCUGCUAGAACCUCCAAACAAGCUCUAAAAAGGAAUGGAUUCAUUUGGAGUUUUAUUCCAUCUAUAGAGUUUCAGGUCUCCAACACUUAGAGGAAGCACAU
rfam:Canis lupus familiaris chromosome X, whole genome shotgun sequence.